GCCAGUCUGGCAUAUUGGUUUGAGUGUCGGACUAUGACUCUAGAGACCAGGGUUCGAUUCCCGGCUCGGCCA